AGCUCCAAUAGCGUAUAUUAAAGUUGCUGCAGUUAAAAAGCUCGUAGUUGGAUCUCGGGGUACCUGGUCUAGCCGGUAUAGCUCACGCUAAAACUGGUCUGACCCCCCAACGUGAGGUAUUCGUCUCCGGGUGCACUUCAUUGGGUGCUCGUGAGGGGCCUCGUAGUUACUGUGGAAAAAAUUAGAGUGUUCAAAGCAGGCUCAUAUGUUCGGAUAGUCGUGCAUGGAAUAACUGAAAACGUGACGGGGGCCUUUCAGGUGGGCUCGGGGACUGGGCAAAUGAGUAAGAGGGACUGCCCGGGGCAUUGGGAAGGCGGGGUUAGAGGUGAAAUUCUUGGAUCCUCGCCAGACCAACAAAAGCGAAAGCAUUUGCCAAGAAUGUCUUCA
rnacentral:rRNA from 1 species